rnacentral:rRNA from 1 species
GAUGAACGCUGGCGGCGUGCUUAACACAUGCAAGUCGAACGGAAAGGCCCUGCUUUUGUGGGGUUCUCGAGUGCCGAAGGCGUGAGUAACACGUGAGUAACCUGCCCUUGUCUUUGGGAUAACUUCACGAAACUGGGGCUAAUACCGGAUAGGAGCUCCUGCUGCAUGGGGGGGGUUGGAAAGUUUCGGCGUUUGUGGAUGGACGCGCGGCUUAUCAGCUUGUUGGUGGAGUAGUUGCUUACCAAGCCUUUGACGGGUAGCCGGCCUGAGAGCGUGACCGGCGACAAUGCGACUGAGAUACGGCCCAGACGCCAACGGGAGGCAGAAGUGGGGAGUAUUACACAAUGGGCCGGAGCCUGAUACAACAACGUCGGGUUCGGGAUGACGGCUUUCGGGUUAAAAACCGCUUUCGCCUGUGACGAAGCGUGAGUGACGGUAAUGGGUAAAUAAGCACCGGCUAACUACGUG